rnacentral:rRNA from 1 species
AUUGAACGCUGGCGGCAUGCUUUACACAUGCAAGUCGAACGGUAACGCGGGGGCAACCCUGGCGACGAGUGGCGAACGGGUGAGUAAUACAUCGGAACGUGCCCAGUAGUGGGGGAUAGCUCGGCGAAAGCCGGAUUAAUACCGCAUACGACCUACGGGUGAAAGCGGGGGAUCGCGUGACCUCGCGCUAUUGGAGCGGCCGAUGGCAGAUUAGCUUGUUGGUGGGGUAAAAGCCUACCAAGGCUACGAUCUGUAGCUGGUCUGAGAGGACGACCAGCCACACUGGGACUGAGACACGGCCCUGACUCCUACGGGAGGCAGCAGUGGGGAAUUUUGGACAAUGGGCGCAAGCCUGAUCCAGCAAUGCCGCGUGUGUGAUGAAGGCCUUCGGGUUGUAAAGCACUUUUAGUGGGAACGAAACGGUCCGGGCCAAUACCCUGGACUACUGACGGUACCCGCAGAAUAAGCACCGGCUAACUACGUGCCAGCCGCCGCAGUAA